rnacentral:rRNA from 1 species
CCUACGGGAGGCAGCAGUGAGGAAUAUUGGUCAAUGGGCGCGAGCCUGAACCAGCCAAGUAGCGUGAAGGAUGACUGCCCUACGGGUCGUAAACCUCUUUUAUAAAGGAAUAAAGUGAGGCACGUGUGCCGUUUUGUAUGUACCUUAUGAAUAAGCAUCGGCUAACUCCGUGCCAGCAGCCGCGGUAAUACGGAGGAUGCGAGCGUUAUCCGGAUUUAUUGGGUUUAAAGGGUGCGUAGACGGGUUGUCAAGUCAGUUGUGAAAAUUUGCGGCUCAACCGUAGCAUUGCAGUUGAUACUGGCGUCCUUGAGUGAGGGAGAGGUAGGCGGAAUGCGUGGUGUAGCGGUGAAAUGCAUAGAUAUCACGAAGAACUCCGAUUGCGAAGGCAGCACACUGGACUGCAACUGACGCUGAUGCACGAAAGUGUGGGUAUCGAACAGGAUUAGAUACCCCAGUAGUC